ACCUGAGACCUGCGCCGCUGCUGAAGCCGCGUUAGAACCAUUCCAGGACAUUGAGGAAACCUCUGCACUAGGGCAAAUUUUGCCGUCAUCAGUUGAUGCUGUACGACUCGUGAAAGCAUCAACUAAACUAAGGGACAUAGAACUAAAGGACAUAGAACGAUGCAUUGAAGUAGAAGAUACGGCGUUAGGUGAAGCGAAGAUAUUUUUUUAGAAGAUUGUAAAAUAUAAAUAUCAGCAAUAACCCGCAAUUGUCAGUAAGAGCAGUGGAAUGCUUAUGCGGAUGCAAAAAGCUGAAAGAAAUAGUGAAUAUAAAUGCAGCCCGUCUGGAGCCAGAAGAAUUACAAUUUCUUCGCAGAAAUUUUCCGUGAGUCCUCAUGGCCUACUAUGUAUCGAAGACGGAGACCCCGAUUAUAAGCUGGACACUCUCGACUUCAUCAAUGAGCUUAUGGAAUAAACCUUGCUUGCGGCUUGUUUUAAGAAAAUAUUGUGUGUUCUGUCUGUGUCGAUGAAAUAAUAAUUAGAGGGCUGCUACUAUUGUGAAUUCCAGUAAACUUUAUUGCUGUGGCUUGUAUGCGAUAAUAGUUGUAUUGAGGAUCGAAUAAAGCAAAAUUGGUAACUUUA